ACUCAAAUGAAUUGACGGGGGCCCGCACAAGCGGUGGAGCAUGUGGUUCAAUUCGACGCAACGCGAAGAACCUUACCCGGGCUCGAACGGGAUCGGACCAGUCGGCGAAAGCCGGCCUUCCCGCAAGGGACUGAUUCCGAGGUGCUGCAUGGCUGUCGUCAGCUCGUGUCGUGAGAUGUUGGGUUAAGUCCCGCAACGAGCGCAACCCUUGCUCUUAGUUGCUACCGGUUCGGCCGAGCACUCUAAGAGGACUGCCCGUGACAAACGGGAGGAAGGUGGGGAUGACGUCAAGUCAGCAUGGCCUUUAUGUCCGGGGCUACACACGUGCUACAAUGCGCGCCACAAAGGGUCUGCCAACCCGCAAGGGGGAGCUAAUCCCAAAAAAGCGCGCUCAGUUCGGAUUGCGGUCUGCAACCCGACCGCAUGAAGCCGGAAUCGCUAGUAAUGGCGCAUCAGCACGGCGCCGUGAAUACGUUCCCGGGCCUUGCACACACCGCCCGU
rnacentral:rRNA from 1 species